rnacentral:rRNA from 1 species
UUUAUGGAGAGUUUGAUCCUGGCUCAGGAUGAACGCUGGCGGCGUGCCUAAUACAUGCAAGUCGAGCGAACAGAUAAGGAGCUUGCUCCUUUGACGUUAGCGGCGGACGGGUGAGUAACACGUGGGUAACCUACCUAUAAGACUGGAAUAACUCCGGGAAAC